AUGGAGUAUGUUGAAGGAGCUGGAAGAAAACUGAAGGAAGCAGAGAAAGUGGAUCAUCCCCAGAACUUCAUUUGAGGCAUUGGUGGGACUGGGACAUUAUUUCCAAGCCCUAGUUUCAGUGAUGUUGUGUUUGGCCCAUCCAUCUUUUGCACUUACCCUGGUGGCUGCACUCCAACUCCUACACUUCCUUUCAUCCCAAGUGCUGGUGGGUCACCACCACAUGCAUAGAUGAGGAGAACCUACAUGAAUAAUGUUUCUCUUUCUGGAUUUAGUAUCAGAAUAUUAUGCUACUACUUAGUUUGAGGUUGUUAAGCUUUAAUUUGUUUUUUAUUUAUUUGUUAUUUCUCUGAAUGUGUAUUUAGGUUUGUUCUCGUCUAAGUAGGUAUGAGUGCAUGCAUAUCAUGUUAUUGUGUCUUUUGUGUUCCAUUUAUUUUUUCCAACUUUUUUAAUUUCAUUCCUUAAACUUUUCAUCUAACCAUCAGAUUCAUCUUUAAUGUAUUUGUUUU